UUAAUUAAUUUUCUCCAGGAAGACUCCUGCAAGGAAAAAUAAAUCCCAAAUCUCAUUUCAGUUGUGAUAAUUUCAGCUGUAAGUGACAAUAACCCUCAACUAAAAAAGCUUAAACAGUAAGAAAUCUAUUAUAUCAUAUAAAAAGAAGCCCAAUGUUAGAUUCAUGGUUGCUUCAUUCACUGAUACAGUGAUGCAAUCAGGAAUCCUUGUAUUCUUCUUCAACCUCUUUCAUCCUCAGGAUUUUGGUUUUGGUUGCAGGCUUAGACCCUCAUUGCUGCAAUAUGGUUGCUGUGGUUUCAGGUAUCAUACCGUUACCCAAAUGCCACCAGGAAAGAUGAGGGCAAGACACCAGAUACUGACCCACCAUGCUGAGGGCUUCGGAUUUUCUUUCUGCUUGAGAAACUUCUGUUAGCCAUUCUUUUAGAGCAGUUCUGCUAGUGAAAAAUUCUUAGUUUUCCUUCCUCUGAGAAUGUCUUUAUUUCAUCUUCAUUUCUGGAGAACAUUUUAACUGGAUAUAGGGUUCUGGAUUGAUACUUCUUUUAUUUCCUCAUGAAAAAAUUUUGUGCCACUUCCCCAUGGUUUCUAAUGAGAAAUCUUUUGUGAGUCUAAGAAUUUUUCUAGUAUAGAUAAAGCAUCAUUUUUCUCUGACUGCUUUUAAGCUUUUUCUUAGUGUUUAGUUUUCAAAAAUCUGAUUAUAAUGUGUUUGAACCUGGACUAUUUUUUUAGUUAUUGUGUUAGAGAUUUGCUCAACUUCUUGAAUCUGCCGUUUAUGUCUCUUGUUAAAUUUAGGGAGAUUUUAGCUAUUAUUUGCACAAAUAUUUUUUUCAGCCCUGCACUCUUUCUUCUGUCCUUUUGGGACUCAGAUGGCACAAAUGUUAUAUUAUUUGUUAUCAUUCAGUAGGUUUUUGAGGCUCUGUUCAUUGUUCUUUUUCCAAUCUUUUUCCCCUGUUUUCAGAUUGAAUAAUUUUUGUUGAUGUAUCUUCAAAUUCACGGAUUUUUAACUCUGUCAUAUUCAUUUUGCUCUUCAAUCAAUAGGCAGGUGUUAAAUUUCAUUCAACAUAUUUUUCAUUUCUAAAAUUUCCAUUUGGGUCUUCCUGAUACCUUCUGUUUCUUUGUUGAGACUUUAUAUUUCUUCAUUUGUUUCAAGAGAAUUCAAAAUCACUUGUUGAAACAUUUUAUGAUGGCUGCUUCAAAAUCCUUGUCAGAUAAUUUCAACAUCUGUCCUUUCUUGGUGUAGGUGUCUUUUGAUUGCUUUUUUCUCAUUCAAAUUGAGAUUUUCAUGGUUUUUGCCAGAAUGGGUAAUUUUAUAUUGUAUCCUGAACAUUAUGAAUACUAAGUAUAAGACUCUGCUUUCUAUUUAAAUCUUCUAUUUUAGCAAGGAUUCAACCUUUUUAUAUAAAGAAUGUACAUCCUAGCCUAGUUUUGUGGGCUGUGAUUCAAAUGCCAAUUUAGAUUUCAAAGCCUUUGCAGUGUUAUUCCGGUCUGCCACAGUUGUGUGCUUCCCAGAGACCAACUUGAAUUCUGGGCAGUGUUUCAGAAGAGUGUUCAAUUUUCAAACCCUUUGCUAUGUUGUUUCUGGGGUUACAUGCAUGGACUUCUAAGAAGUUUUCUCAAGAUUUCAACAGCUCCUUUCUUUCAUUGGAAGGAGGAGUAACACCAUUUCAUUAUUGUAUGGCAGAGAUAGAAGAUAAGGCUCUGCCCACAGUCUCUAGGCUGCAGCAUCUGGUGAGGAAGGGAAGAUAUAUGGCUGCAUUGCUUUUCUGUUGGUGUUCACCUGGAAUAGAGCAGACUCAUUGCUUCCACCUGUUCCUGGACCAGUCCUAGAUGCCAGCAAUAGAGAAAUCCCUGCAGUUCCCCAAAGGAAAAAUGUCACAUGUUCAUGAUUAUUAAACACAGCUGUUUGAUUGGCAUUAAAAUGGAUCUGCCUGAUAAGACCUGGAACUGAGAACCCAAACAGAGCCUAAGAGAAACAUCUCUAUGCUGGCCCAAUCUGUGGAUCCUGGGUUGGUGACCUCGUCCCAGAUGGUCAGCCACAACCAGGGAGGCUUUACUGCUUCAAGACUCACUUUGCUGCUCAGAGGGUCUCUGUGCCUCUGGUCUCUAUGACAAGCUGUUUUCUCUCCUCUGGUGUUGCAUUCUGUUCUUUACAUGACAUAGAAAGACAUUUUAAAGCCACCUAAGUGGGACAAGUCUCUCCUGUGAAGAGUGUAAAUCUAAUUGGAUCCACCAUCUCCUUGGUGCCUUGGCAGUGCCUAUGCAACACCUUUAAAUCUCUUCUAAGCAAUGGUGGUAUUUACUUGUAACAAGUCACCCUUCCACUUUAGAUAUGAAUAAAAUGCCAUGUUGCAAGCAUGGGAUUUGGCCUCCUGAGUGGUUACCAGGGGGCCUAUCAGUCCAUUGACAGUGCUGGAAGAUGUCUCCUUGUAUGAUGAAUCAUGACCAAUAGGAAAUGAGAGAUGGGAGGCGUCUUGCAGGUGAAUCUCUCGUUUCUUCAUUCCAGGGACAGCAACAAGGGCACCACUCUCACACCUGUAAUCCGAGCACUUUGGAGGCC